GUGAAUACAAACGCUUGGGUGUCUCUGCUUCGGCAAGCCCCUCGCACCCUUCACAUCCAUAACACCUGUGCACUGUAAGAUGACUCUCUGGGCCUCGGUCCUUGGGUCGUCUGACCUUUUUACAAACAAUUAUAUGUAACAAAUGUAGUCUUAUCAUAACAAAAUA
rnacentral:misc_RNA from 1 species